GUGAGGUAAAGGGGGCUGCAGAUCUCUGGCUUAUUAAUAAGGCUGACAAAAGGCGAAGAGGAAGCUACACUGCUGGGAUUUUGCAGGAAACCUCCAUAUCCUUUUCAAGUUCCAAAAUUCAAGGAAAUAACGUUAGUGUGCAUUUUGAUCUACACAAGCAUCCUCAGGAAAUUGCGGGUUAGUAUGGACUUUGAUGGCCAAUCAUCCGGGAAGCUUUUGCAGCAUAACAUUGUUGCUCUUGGUGUUUCUUCUGUGACAGAUUUUUAGUGUAUCCUCAAGUGGUUGAUCAAAACAAAAUUAACCCAAGAUUUUAGUUAUAGAAACUCUCUAUGGAAUUACCCAAAGGACGGGGAAUCUGCAGAUAGUGAACCAGAUGAUCCACUCUUUAAUCUCAAUUCAAAGAAAUCACUCAAUAGGUUGGUAACAUAUACUCUGAUUAUACCAAUCAAUGACAUGAAACUUCAUUGGCUAAUAGCGAAACAUCAUUUGGAC